GUCAACUGUUCUGGAGUACCUACCUCCCUAGAAAAAUCAGCUCAUGCAAUCAACAAAGGGAAGUAAAAUGUAGGCAGGCCAAAUGGAAUAGACAAAGUCAGUGGAUCUGCAGGCAUACCAAAGGGCUCAGGGCAGUGACUUUGUUGUACAACAGCUGUAGUCCUGUGGCAGGAAUACAACAGCUAUAGAACAGCUGUAGCCAAGCACUGAAAGACAGAGAAAGAGCUACUCAGUGAAGCUGCUGAUCAUUACUGAGCCAUUUAGAAAUCUGCAGCUGUUGAAGCAGUAUUUGUGUUAAGUCUGCUUCCAACGGGGAUGACAGAUCUCAGGAGUAAGCUAAACGUCUGACAAUGAGAAAAAUGUUUGUCCGCAGCAACAGGUAAAUACUCUUUAUCUGAAGAGGAGCAAGCACUAUGAAGAGGAAUUGUGAC